rnacentral:rRNA from 1 species
CACGUAGGGGGCAAGCGUUGUCCGGAUUUAUUGGGCGUAAAGAGCUCGUAGGUGGUUCGGUAAGUCGGGUGUUAAACCCCCAGGCUCAACCUGGGGACGCCACUCGAUACUGCUGUGACUUGAGUCCAGUAGGGGAGCGUGGAAUUCCUGGUGUAGCGGUGAAAUGCGCAGAUAUCAGGAGGAACACCGGUGGCGAAGGCGGGUCUCUGGGCCGAUACUGACGCUGAGGAGCGAAAGCGUGGGGAGCGAACAGG